GACCGCGUAGCUCAGUUUGCAGAGCAUUGGGCUAGUAUUCCAAAGGUCGUAGGUUCGAUUCCCACCGUGGUCA